CCGCUCCUCCGCUUCCUUCCUUUGCCCCCACGCCUUCCUUCUCUCCUUCUUCGGGACCCAUGCUGCGCCCCUGCCCAUCGCCCUUGCUCUCCUGCUCCCAGUGGGCCAGGUCGGGAUCCACCCCGCUCUGCCCUCUUGCCCUCUUGGGCACGGUCCCCUCACAACACCCACAUGCAGACUUUGAGACGCUCCUCUCGGUCUCCAGCCCUUUCUGCCUUGCCCUCUCUCUGUUGUCCCUUGGCUCCAGCCCGCAGGGCAAGAGCCCCCACCUCCCAGCCCCCACUGUCCCACCCCUCGCUCUCUCCCUCCGCGCCCCUUGGCUGACAACGUCAUCUUCUGCGACCCGACCUGUGACCCCGCGCUGGUUUGAAGGUCCCCGUCUAUCCGUGCUUGCCUCUGCGGGCUCCUCCCGCCCCGUGCUAGACUACCUCCAUUCCUCUGCGGGUCCCCUGAAAUAGCAGAAGCAGGCAUUUGGCGAUCUUUGCGAACUCUCACCUCCGCCUUGCUUCCUACCUGCUCCUCUGCCAUUUCUAAGCGUGCCUGCCAUCCACACGCUGGACUCCAUGCUCGUGAGUCCAUCCCGAAGGCCCUGACGUGCUUCCUGAGCGGGGUGCCUCAUAACUGCCAGCCUGCCCCGUUUCCUCUGUGUCACUACAGCCACCGUAUCCCCUUUCCGCACCUGUUCCCCAGGGGUCCGGCUCUUCACACCCCCCGGGCCGUGAGUCCUGCCUCCGCGCUCCCGCCCUGCUCCUGCCACGUGGCCUCCAUUCCUCCCCUGCCAAGCCCCUUGCCCAGACAUCGGCCCAUGUCCCAACACCGCACGCUCUUCAGGCUGGCUUCCCCUUUUCCCACCCGGAGUCCCCCGCACCUUCACGAGGUUCCCUCCCCUCUUCAGUCCCGCCUGCCCCUGUCUCUUCCCAUCGGCUAUCCUGACCCCACCCACAGCCCGCAGACCACCUGCUCACGGCUGCCCGAGACUCCACUAUCGCCCUCUGCGCACGUCCCUGCUGUGCGGAUUUCAACCCUUCUUGGCCCAUCCUCCUCUUUUUCUCCCACUGUCGUCUCUGAGAGACCCUCGCGUCAUCUUCAGCCACCGUCCUACUCGCCCUCGUAGCUGUCGGGCCCGUGAGGCAGCCACCGUCUUCCCCCAGCAACUUGUGCCCUGGAUGCCCUGCCCUCAUGCUCCCCGCCUUGCCCUCUUCAUCGCCAACGUGCUGUGCCGAAUCCAUCUGCUCUCCCAGUUCGCUCCCAAGGCCCCUACCGUUUUAGCUGCCACCGUUUUUGAGACGGUCACUCCUCCUCUGGGCGUCUCUCUGACCUUUCCCGUCUCCCCGUGCCCCACACUGACAGGGCUGUCUCCAGCACCUUCCAGGCCACUACCACCACCGCCUCAUCCUCCUCCGUUCUCCUCCCUCCCGCCUCUCCUGCGUUCCUUGAUUCCUCGCCCACGCUGUGCUCUGCUCCCGGGUGCGCUUCCUCGGGGCCCUGGUCCACUCACGGGAACACACUUCCUUGAUUCUCCACGUCCAGCCCUUCCUUCGGGCCCUCCGCCGGCCCUCGUGGCCCGGCACGUCCCUGGUCCUCUGUGCAAGCCUCUCCUGUCCCCAGCGGUCAGGCGCCACGGCCUGCCCCUCUCCCGCUUCCGGCCGGCUGGACCGCCUCUCCUCGACCCUACUCUCCCACGUCUUGCACGCUGCUCCCCUCACCUCCUGCCUCCAGGGCCCCAUUUCCUUGCCUCUCCUCUCUGCUCCUCACCUGCCUACACAGCAACGGGACGGGACUGUCCUACCGGAGCCCGCGAACGUUCUUUCAGCUACCCUCUGUGACUCUUCCAGCGGGCCUCAGGACUUGGCGCUGCUGUGUGCUCCAUGCUUAGUCCCUCGCCCCCGGCUCAACCCACUUCGGCCGGUCGUCUUCGCCUCGCACACAACGUACUGAAUGAG
rnacentral:lncRNA from 1 species